UACUAGGGGAGGCAGCAGUGGGGAAUCUUCCGCAGUGGACGAAAGUCUGACGGAACAACGCCGCGUGAGUGAUGAAGGUUUUCAGAUCGAAAAACUCUGUUGUUGGGGAAGAACAAGCACUAAAGUAACUGUUAGUACCUUGACGGCACCUAACCAGAAAGCCCCGGAUAACUACGUGCCAGCAGCCGCGAUAAUACGUAGGGGGCAAGCGUUCUCCGGAAUUAUUGGGCAUAAAGCGCGCGUAGGCGCUCCUUUAACUCUGAUGUGAAAGCCCACGGCUUAACCGUGGAGGGUCAUUGAAAACUGGAGGACUUGAGUGCAGAAGAAGAGAGUGGAACUCCACGUGUAGCGGAGAAAUGCGUAGAGAUGUGGAAGAACACCAGUGGCAGAGGCAACUCUCUGGUCUGUAACUGACGCUGAGGUGCAAAAGCGUGGGUAGCAAACAGGAUUAAAUACCCUGGUAGCCCACCCCGAAAACAAAAAGUGCUAGGUGUUAGGGGGUUUCCCCCCCUU
rnacentral:rRNA from 1 species